GACGAACGCUGGCGGCGUGCCUAAUACAUGCAAGUAGAACGCUGAGGACUGGUGCUUGCACUGGUCUAAGGAGUUGCGAACGGGUGAGUAACGCGUAGGUAACCUACCUCAUAGCGGGGGAUAACUAUUGGAAACGAUAGCUAAUACCGCAUGACAAUAGGGUACACAUGUACCCUAUUUAAAAGGGGCAAAUGCUUCACUAUGAGAUGGACCUGCGUUGUAUUAGCUAGUUGGUAAGGUAACGGCUUACCAAGGCGACGAUACAUAGCCGGACUGAGAGGUUGAACGGCCACAUUGGAACUGAGAUACGGUCCAG
rnacentral:rRNA from 1 species